CGGAAUUACUGGGGGUAAAGGGCUCGUAGGCGGCCAACUAAGUCAGACGUGAAAUCCCUCAGCUUAACUGGGGAACUGCGUCUGAUACUGGAUGGCUUGGAUCCGGAAGAGGGAUGCGGAAUUCCAGGUGUAGCGGUGAAAUGCGUAGAUAUCUGGAGGAACACCGGUGGCGAAGGCGGCAUCCUGGGCCGGUAUUGACGCUGAGGAGCGAAAGCCAGGGGAGCAAACGGG
rnacentral:rRNA from 1 species